rnacentral:miRNA from 1 species
ACUGCCCUGUGAGCACUUCCAA